rnacentral:rRNA from 1 species
UACGGAGGGUGCAAGCGUUAUCCGGAUUCACUGGGUUUAAAGGGCGCGUAGGUGGGUCUGUAAGUCAGUGGUGAAAUCUCCGGGCUUAACCUGGAAACUGCCAUUGAUACUAUAGGUCUUGAAUAUUGUGGAGGUUAGCGGAAUAUGUCAUGUAGCGGUGAAAUGCUUAGAUAUGACAUAGAACACCAAUUGCGAAGGCAGCUGGCUACGCAUAUAUUGACACUGAGGCGCGAAAGCGUGGGGAGCAAACAGG